GCCUGGGUGGCUCAGUUGGUCAAGCGCCUGACUUCAGCUCAAGUCAUGAUCUCAUGGUUCCUGGGUUCGAGCCCCGCUUGGGCU
rnacentral:tRNA from 1 species